CAGAACAUCCCAAAGCAUUCAUGGUUUCUCAUUUAAAGAAGUUAAUGGAUUCAAGGGCUAUAGAAAUGAAUCAUCCAUGUUUGUUUGAUGACACAAAUAUCAGGUCUUUAUUUGGAAUUUUGGAUAUAUCAAAUCAUGGUUAUAUUAACUAUGAGCAGUAUAAACGAGGUAAUUAGUUACCAAGCACAAUUAUCAUUUCCUUUGAAUUAUCAAAACUCAUGCUUUCUCUCAUAUGUGUUUUUGUGUCAAUUAAUUAGCAUUGAAUUUCAUAAAAUUAAUGCGACUUCAUUCCUAUGCCAAUAGUAUGCCUAUUUGUGCUGAAAUGACAAGUAUUAUUAUUCAGCUAAUAAAACCUAGCUAUUACAGUAGGUGGACACUUUCAAUCUUAAUAAUUUAUAUACAACUGCAUGUUACACUACUUUUGUUUUAUCCCAGUUAGUCUUUGUUGUAUCUUCCAUAGUUCCAUGUGCACAUGCAGAUCAUUCAUGCCAAUACCAUAUAUGUAUAACAUUAAUUUGUUCGUUUUUACAAAAUGUACUGGAUCAUUUUCUCUUCAGCUCUUGAAAACUUGGGCAUCAAAGAUAUCAAUCGUAAUCCGCCUGGUGCUGAUUUGGAUGAAAUUACCUUAGAGGUCUUUCUCAAGGAAGCGUGAGUAUAUAUCACCAGUUUUAGCGAGCUCUAUAUAUAUCUGGAGCGCCUUCCUUGGUGCAAUCGUGAGAUAACUCCACUUUCUUGAUAUUCAAUGCAUUAAUGAAUUUACGUCACGCUUUGCAUAAUGACACCUACCAUGGUACUUAAAAUAUUAUAUGACUUUUGGGUAAACGUUUUUACUAGAAUUGUGCUUUCCUCUAUAAGAAUAUGUCUACUCUAAAAACGAUGCAGAGCGUCCAUCAUAUACAGUCUUUAACUUUAUCUUUUAAAUGCAAUUUUACGUUUACUAAUUCUAUUUUUUUCCUUUCGUAUUACCUUUACAAUACUUUUAGGAGAGUUGGUUUGUCCACAUCGUCGGCUACUUUCCUUGCCACCUAAUGCAAAUAUUGAAGUAUCGUUCUUUUAUUGUAGUAUUAAUAUAUUAGUAGGUUUAGCCAUUCUGAUUGGCAAUAACUGCAAAAAAUGGUUAGGAAGAUCAUGCAGGUGAACUUUUGUGUUAUUAACCUCAGCC